UACAGAGGUGGCAAGCGUUGUUCGGAAUUACUGGGCGUAAAGGGCGCGUAGGCGGUCCCGUCAGUCCCUUGUGAAAUCCCCCGGCUCAACUGGGGAACUGCAAGGGAUACAGCGGGGCUUGAGUUCGGGAGAGGGAAGCGGAAUUCCGGGUGUAGCGGUGAAAUGCGUAGAUAUCUGGAGGAACACCGGUGGCGAAGGCGGCGUCCUGGACCAACACUGACACUGAGGAGCGAAAGCCAGGGGAGCAAACGGG
rnacentral:rRNA from 1 species